UACGUAGGGUGCGAGCGUUGUCCGGAAUUACUGGGCGUAAAGAGCUCGUAGGUGGUUUGUCGCGUUGUCCGUGAAAACUCACAGCUUAACUGUGGGCGUGCGGGCGAUACGGGCAGACUGGAGUACUGCAGGGGAGACUGGAAUUCCUGGUGUAGCGGUGGAAUGCGCAGAUAUCAGGAGGAACACCGGUGGCGAAGGCGGAUCUCUGGGCCUGUUCUGACGCUGAGGCGCGAAAGCUAGGGGAGCGAACAGG
rnacentral:rRNA from 1 species